AMUUAAAWWAUUUAAUUAAAAUACUGGUCUUGUAAACCAGAAAUGAAAUAUUUCUUUAAGUU
rnacentral:tRNA from 1 species